rnacentral:rRNA from 1 species
GACGAACGCUGGCGGCGUGCCUAAUACAUGCAAGUAGAACGCUGAAGGAGGAGCUUGCUUCUCUGGAGGAGUUGCGAACGGGUGAGUAACGCGUAGGUAACCUGCCUGGUAGCGGGGGAUAACUAUUGGAAACGAUAGCUAAUACCGCAUAAGAGUAGAUGUUGCAUGACAUUUGCUUAAAAGGUGCAAUUGCAUCACUACCAGAUGGACCUGCGUUGUAUUAGCUAGUUGGUGGGGUAACGGCUCACCAAGGCGACGAUACAUAGCCGACCUGAGAGGGUGAUCGGCCACACUGGGACUGAGACACGGCCCAGACUCCUACGGGAGGCAGCAGUAGGGAAUCUUCGGCAAUGGACGGAAGUCUGACCGAGCAACGCCGAGUGAGUGAAGAAGGUUUUCGGAUCGUAAAGCUCUGUUGUAAGAGAAGAACGAGUGUGAGAGUGGAAAGUUCACACUGUGACGGUAUCUUACCAGAAAGGGACGGCUAACUACGUG